AGUUGAACCUGGCUCAGAUUGAACGCUGGCGGCAUGCCUUACACAUGCAAGUCGAACGGCAGCACGGGAGCAUCCUGGUGGCGAGUGGCGAACGGGUGAGUAAUGUAUCGGAACGUACCUUUCCAGUGGGGGAUAACGUAGCGAAAGUUACGCUAAUACCGCAUAUUCUCUGAGGAGGAAAGCAGGGGACCUUCGGGCCUUGCGCUGUUAGAGCGGCCGAUAUCAGAUUAGCUAGUUGGUGGGGUAAAAAGCUGCUCACCAAGGCGACGAUCUGUAGCGGGUCUGGUCUGAGAGGAUGAUCCCCCCCCCCGGAAUAGAAACCGUCCCGAUUCUUCCGGAGGGCAGCAGGGGGAAUUUGACAAUGGGCGCAAGCCUGAUCCAGCCAUGCCGCGUGAGUGAAGAAGGCCUUCGGGUUGUAAAGCUCUUUCGGCCGGGAAGAAAUCGCAUUGGUUAAUACCUGGUGUGGAUGACGGUACCGAA
rnacentral:rRNA from 1 species